GCGGUGAUCAUGAGCGGCUCGCGCGGCAGCGGCCCGGGACAUCAGUGCUGGCGGUGGUGCCCUGAACCCUAACCGUCCUGGGUGCAUUGGCGGAUCGUGCCCGUCACCUGGUAGACCCUACACUCGACCCUGCACGUACAAGUUGUGCCCACCACCGGCUGGUGGUCAACCCUAAUACCUGCAGACCCCCUCUCACGAAUAAUGGAAGGGUAUAUGCUCAGCUGAUGCAUGCCUCAAUGCCGCUACAACUGCAUGUGCCCACCAGCUGAUGCUGCCACCACCUUAUACUGAACCGAUGAUAGUACUAUCGACUCUACGUGUACUUACAGCUUUAAUACUCCGAAUAAAACUAUAUGGUUGGCACUGA